UCCACUUCAAUAAUCUCCUACAAGAUCCUGUAUAAAUCUGUUGAGCCUUUCUUACAUAUUCCAUAAUUAAUUUUCGCCCACCGUCUACCAUAUUCAUAUGCAUGAAAAGUAAAGCUUCGUGUAAAAUACAUUGGUGAUGUGGUGACCUUUGCAACUGGAUGUUGAACUAAUUCGUGAAACCAUGGGGAGGAGGGUAAGAUGAAUCAUCAUAUUCAACCUACAAAAAUAAAACAACGUUAAAAUUAUUCAUAUUAAUCUAGAAUAGAUGUAUAUAUGCCAUAAAAAUUUGGGUGACUACCUGACUCCUCAAGCACUUAAUAAAAUGUUGAUAUUUCCUUUUGUCUAUCUCACUAGUUUGAAUACCCAACAUGUCUUCCUACCAUUCUUCAAUUGAAAUGCAUAUAUCAUUCCAUUACAAUGUGGACAAGAUAAUCUCUCAUAUGUAGUCCAUCUAGACAAUAUCCCAUAAGCAUUAAAGUCACUUAUGGUCCACAACAGCAUUACUCGCAUCGUAAAAUUUGUUUUUG
rnacentral:lncRNA from 1 species